rnacentral:rRNA from 1 species
UACGUAGGGCGCAAGCGUUGUCCGGAAUUAUUGGGCGUAAGAGCUCGUAGGUGGUUUGUCGCGUUGUUCGUGAAAACUCACAGCUCAACUGUGGGCGUGCGGGCGAUACGGGCAGACUAGAGUACGUGCAGGGAGACUGGAAUUCCUGGUAUAGCGGUGGAAUGCGCAGAUAUCAGGAGGAACACCGGUGGCGAAGGCGGGUCUCUGGGCAGUAA